rnacentral:lncRNA from 12 species
GUCUCAUCAAUUUUUAAUUUGUGUGAUUUUCUGUACUGCAAACCAAUUGGGUAUAAUAGAGAAAAAUAGCCCAAGUUCUAUGGGAACUGCUUGAAAUGUAAAACUCAUGAUGCUCAAGACUGGAUCUUACUAUCACUAUCACUAUGCAUGUUUUAGAGAAAUAAAGAAACUGAAGAAGAGGGAUGUCAAUUUUAUUCAUUCAUUCAUUCAUUCAUCCAUUCAUUCAUUCAGCAAGUAAUUUUGAGCUCCUACUGCAUGCCUAGACACAGGAAGUCCACUCAAUUGCAGGUCAGUGCUGAACAGCAGACACAAUCAAGAGCUGGUGUCCUAGUCUGCACAGGCUGCCCUCACAAAAUACCACAAACUAGUGGCUUAAACAGCAGAAUUUUUACUUUCUCAUAGUUCUGGAGACUGAAAGUCCUCAGAGAGGCGGUUUCUCCCAAGGUCUCUCUCCAUAGCUUGCAAAUGACCACCAUGUCCUCAUGUGACCUUUGCUCUGUGAAUGUAUUUUUGCCUCUGGUGUCCUAAUCUCUUCUUAUAAAGACUCCAGACAGAUUAAGGCCCACUCUAGGUGGGUCUCAUUUUAACUUAAUUACCUCCUUGAAAGUGCUUGGAAAUACUGGGGGUUAGGGCUUUAACACAAGAAUGGAGGUAAGAUGGGCAUGGACACUACUCAGCCUGUUACAGCUGGGAAGACAAUUUGAUCCUUUGGCCAAGGUCAUGGGACCUUAGCUUCAUCCCUCUAAACUGGAGCUGGAAGGUUUCUUUUCCCUAGCAACAUCAGGAUUCACAAAACGUCUAAAUCCUGAAUGCCCAUGGAGUGUGGUGGAGGAAGUACACUGGGGCAAAUUCCCACAUGGGGAUCCAACGGUCCACCACCUGUAGAACAAUGAUGGCUUGUGUGGACCAAGGAAGCAACUGUGUCCAAUUGCCCAGACUGUUUUCUAAAAACACUGAAAAGGAAACAUCUGCUUAUACUGUAUUUUUUUUCUUUUUUUUCCCCCCUCUGAAUGCUUUAAAAGUGAAUAAAGUGGAUUUCAGUAACCCUGCCACACAAAGCUGGAUUCAUGCUUUCAGUAAUCCCCUUGGUGCUUGUCACAUUCAUUCUUGCUCUGAGGCACUUCAAACACUGUUGAUUUCUUCUUCCAUGAAUCUGAAUGAAGAAUGGGACCACUCACUCGUGUCCUGGAGAAAGCAAGAUGGAGCUCCUCAUUUUACCAAACAACCUGCUUUCCGCCCCCCUUCUCACGGCCACAGCAAAUCAUACCAGUUUCUUCCUGAGUGUAGAAAACCUCUAACUUGGGCUUAGAGGUACAGCCUGCACUGUUUCCAGUUUCCCAAAGAAAUAUGCUGCUACAGUCCUGGAAAGAACAUAUUCUUCUUCUACUCCAUGCAAACUGGCAACUUUGUAUUCAAUUCAUUCAACCAAUGGUUAUUGAUGAUCAAUGUGUGACAGAACUAGGAGCAAACUAUUAGGAAUAAAAAGAAGGUAUCAGACA